GGCAUGGUGGCAUAUAUUGGUUAUUAAUGCAUUGGACUCCGGAUUGAGCGGUCUGGGUUCGAGCCCUAGCCAGGGUCA